rnacentral:rRNA from 1 species
UGGGGAAUUUUGGACAAUGGGCGAAAGCCUGAUCCAGCAAUGCCGCGUGUGUGAAGAAGGCCUUCGGGUUGUAAAGCACUUUUGUCCGGAAAGAAAUCCUUGGCUCUAAUACAGUCGGGGGAUGACGGUACCGGAAGAAUAAGCACCGGCUAACUACGUGCCAGCAGCCGCGGUAAUACGUAGGGUGCAAGCGUUAAUCGGAAUUACUGGGCGUAAAGCGUGCGCAGGCGGUUUGCUAAGACCGAUGUGAAAUCCCCGGGCUCAACCUGGGAACUGCAUUGGUGACUGGCAGGCUAGAGUAUGGCAGAGGGGGGUAGAAUUCCACGUGUAGCAGUGAAAUGCGUAGAGAUGUGGAGGAAUACCGAUGGCGAAGGCAGCCCCCUGGGCCAAAUACUGACGCUCAUGCACGAAAAGCGUGGGGAGCAAACAGGAUUAGAUACCCUGGUAGUCCACGCCCUAAAACGAUGUCAACUAGUUGUUGGGGAUUCAUUUCCUUAGUAACGUAGCUAACGCGUGAAGUUGACCGCCUGGGGAGUACGGUCGCAAGAUUAAAACUUAAAUGAAUUGACGGGGUCAUAGC